rnacentral:tRNA from 1 species
CGCGGUAGCUCAGUCAGGAAGAGCACCGGACGUUAAUCCGGGAGCGCGGGUUCGAAUCCCGUCCGCGACG